UCUUUCUCUAAGAGAGGGCGUUAUAUGGCAAAACGCUACGCGUCUGUAAAUUUUUUGCAAUCAUUGGUGUAACGGCGAUCACUCGGCGUGUGGCACGGGCGGAUAAUCAUGGGCAGCAAAAAGCACAAGAAACACCAUAAGUCUGAAAAGAAAGAAGCCAAAGAUGAAGACCGCCAAGAAAAGUCUCUCAAGCUGGUUCUCAAGGUUGGCGGGAGCACAGGUGGGUUGCAGACGCCUGUGCCAUCGCCAUCUGCUGUAGCCUCUCCACACAGCGUGCCUCCAGCCCAGCAACAGCAUGAACCGAUGGCAGCAGCAGCUGCACCAGCAGCAUUUCGUGUAGAGGCCCCUGGCAUGGUUUGUCAUGCUCAUGAGGGAAGCAGCAGCAGUAAGCACAAAAAGUCCAAGAAGAAGAAAAAGAAGAAGUCCAGCAGCAAAGAACAUAGGGAAAAGAGGCACAGGCACCACCAUCACCAUCAUCAUCGCCAUCACCACCACCACCAUAAGGAUUCUGAAAAGAAGGAGAAGCGGAAGUGUGAGCACGAAUGUUCCUUGGGCAGUGAGGAGCGCCCUCCAGCAGCUAAUGCAGUGGAACCACCACCAGCCAAGCGCCCCCGUCAGGAGUUAGUGCCAGCAGCGCCUGAGCCUUCACAGCCACCUUCUGAACGCCCAGUUAGAGAUCCUCGCUCGUGUACAUUAAAGAAGUCUGAUAAGAGUCCCCUGCAGAUGCUGCUGUACUACCUUCUAAAGAACCUUCAGAAGAGAGACCCUCAAGAAUUCUUUGCUUGGCCUGUGAAUGAUAUAAUUGCACCGGGCUACUCAACAAUCAUACACAAUCCUAUGGAUUUUAGUACCAUGAGAAAAAAGAUAGAUGACAGUGAAUAUGCCUGUGUCAGCGAGUUCAGGGAGGACCUGAAGUUAAUGUGUGAUAAUGCAAUGACCUACAACCGGCCUGACACUGUUUACUUCAAGUCUGCAAAGCGUAUGUGGUACUCUGGAAACAAGCUCCUUUCCAAGGAUCAGCUUUUGGCAUUGGAGAGUUCCCUUCCAUUCUUUGCUGACUUGACAUCUGAAGAGCUGGGGUUUGAUGUCAAUGGGACUGCCGCUGCCCCUGAUGUCAAACCACCUACUGAUGUUGCUGAUGCUCCAGUGCCCGUAGAGGCUGCACCACUUGGAAGUCCAGAAUUUGCCAAAAAGAGCAAGAGUGGAUCAAGUGAAGAGGCAGCAUCAGAUGACCAGGCGGCAAGUGAAAUCCUGCUUCAAGCGCAAAAAGCGGCACGGGCCGCAGCUGACAGGUUGACAUUGAAAAAAGUGAAUAGCAAGUUUGGCUUUUUACGUCAGAUGGAAGAUGGAAGCACUACAUUAUCAAUAUUAAACCCAGACUGCGGAAGUACAAAUGGAUCAAAAGAAAUGAAGGUCAACUUAGAAAUGCUAGUUGGAAAGCUUGCUCAUGGAACUGGAACCCUCAUGGAUUUCAAGGAUGACAUCAAAAACAUUGCACGACCAAUCAAUUAUCUCAACUAUGGGACCUACAGCACUUAUGCACCUCACUAUGAUUCUACAUUUGCAAAUCUCUCAAAGGAAGAGUCUGACCUUGUGUACUCAACAUAUGGCGAUGAGCUUGGGGUCCAGUAUGCUGAGAGUCUGCUCAGCUUUGCCAAGGAUUGUGAUUAUGUCAUGGACAUGGUUGACAACCUUCUGGAUGUAUUGACAUCUGGCGAGCACUCAAAGACUGUAAAACUUCUGGAAGCUCAUCGCAAUGGCAUAGUGCCAGAGGAAAAGGACCUUGUAUCCUUCACAAAUCACACUGAAGUAGAAGAAAUGGAAGUGGAAUCGUCAGAACCAAAGCAUAGUGAUUUCAGGCCACCCGACUCCUUCUAUGCACUUAACGAUCUCACAGCUGAUUCAACCGUACUGGACAGUAAUCAUACAAGCCAAGCACCAGUCCAGCAAAAUUUUACAGAACGGGAUCUUAUGCAUGGAGAUCCCCAUGAAGUCCAUGAACAUCAUGAUCACCAUGAGCGUCAUGAUCAUCAUGAGCACCACGAUCGUCAUGACCACCUGCACCAUACAGUUUCAGAAUCCUCAUCACUGGAUAGUGCUGACAGUGAUAUCAAUGCUGUGCUACAACAGAAGCUACAAGAGUCAAAGGAGAUGAUUGAUACCCUGUCCCGUCUGCAACAAGAGCGGCUUAGUGCCACGCCACCAGCACACCUGAGCCAUAUACAGGGUGCCAGUGAACUGGAACUUGAGCUGGCGGAAAAGAUUGCAAAGACACUUUCUGAGCUGGCUUCUCAUGAAAUGUUCAGCACGCCUGUUUGUCCCCCACAUGGUCACGGCGGUCACGUCUUCGUGAAAACAGAGCAUGAAGAACAGAAGGCAUAUCCGUACAUUUUGCACUGCCUCACCCAUUCCGGUCAUCAGACACUAAAUGAAGAUUGUUUGUUGAACCGUAUUGUGUUUCUGCAAGUAAAGCCCUACCCACAGCAUUUAAUGGACUUUACAUUUGCCACAAGUGAUGUUGACUUCUCACCCCUGUCGGUACGCAAGGAGGACAUAAGCACUACAGAGUGUCAUGGAGUCUUUCCGAGUCAUGGAAAUGGACAAGAUGGUUGUUGAGGGGACGCUUUGCAUGGCCGCUCUAUUUUGUUGGUGCAGUAAGGGACGCCGCCAACAUCGACACACAAUGCUUCGGAGGUGUGGCCGGAAUGAAGUACUGACGACCCGCCACGGUCCUCACGUUCCUCUCUACUAUGGCGUACUGGUGCAGUCGUGGUGAGAGCGAACGCAAGAAGGAACGUGAGCGCGGCGGCCUCUUGCAUCUUCUCGCCACACGACUCCUGCCACAGGCGCGAAGAUGGGCAAGCGCACGAUGUCGUCUUGUCGCUUUGCACGGCUUUCCGAAACGCCCGAUCUCUAAAUUAACGAGCUAGUCACGUUAGGUCACGAGGCGACCCGGAGGCCUUGGCUUGCCUUGGUUUCGUUCACGACGGGGUGCUUCAAGAUGGUGCUGUUUCUCUCUUCAUUUUACCGGUCAAGGACGUCGAACGGCAGUCACCGUUUUGAGAGCGAACUCGAGAAAGCAAAUUACCGAGGUGCUCCUGCAGAGCUGCGCGCGCGUUCUUGUGAAGGGCAAAAAAGCAGCGGCCUGUCGGUCUGUUUUUCGUCGGACGACACGGGCGUUCCGCCGCAAAUGGCGUAAUUUUUUUUUCACGUUUGACCCAGCAGCCUGUCGCGGCCUUGCUGCCUCACCUCUGCGAGCCGUUGCCCCUUCGAUAUGGUCUUGUAAAUGCACUUGGGAAGAGAAUGGCUGAAGGUUGGCCCCUCGCACGCCCCGCGAGAAAAAACAAAAACAAAAUAUUUUUAAAAAAUAGUAAAAAAAAAGCUUUUAGUUGCUCCUGCUUCGAAAACGGCCCCGGCGAUUAUGUUCAAUUGUAUUUCGUCUAACCUUCGACAAAGCGUUUUGCCGGUAUGAGGAGGAACAACAACGUAACACGACAGCGCGAACUACACCGAGCACGUAAUCUGCGCGCGCGUGCAGGCCUUGCGAGAGUGUCGAGAAAAGGAUAAAUAAGAAUAAGCGAGAGCCGGGACAAAUGGAGCACUCUCUCAGUGCGCCGGUUGCACAGAAGCAAUUUCGGAAAGCGAGGCUUUCCGCAAGCGUUAAAAGGGGACUACGCCGUUGCCCGUCUUAACUUCGCUCCCCUUUCGUGAUAUGUUUUUUGAGGCCAUUUCUGAUGCCUGAGCAUUAAGAUGGAGGGUAAAAUGGGCCGAUACCGGCGAGAUUUUUCGCACUUUUUCGACUGCAACUCGGUGGUCAUUAGUGCGCCCACAACAAAGCUGUGCCAGCAACACCGUACACCCAAUCGUGUCCCUCUCGGUCAUUGAGUUCAGUGGUGCAGAAAGGAAGGCAGGAGAGAGAAAGAAGAGAGCUGCUGGAAGGGUGACCAGGCAGUGUCCGAUAUAUAUGCUGUGUGAGGGUGCGUGAUGAUGCUCGCUCUUCACCGAUGGUGCGGCGUUCGAGACUUGCCCCCGGGUUCGAAAACCCCGGUUCCUAAAGACAGUACGCGCAGAUGUGUCACACACGAACCGCCUGCGCACGGCAAUCAACGCUCGCGAGGUCGCAGCAGGCCCCCGCUUUGUGUGUCUGAACGCGCGGCUGUCGCGCUCUGCCACCGGACUAUGGAUUUUACGACAGCGCUGAAGAGCUGAUUGGUGCGUUGCGCCACCGGUUGAGAAAUGCGAUGCUCGGAUCUGGGAGAAAAGAACACUGGUGUCUCGAGAA
rnacentral:misc_RNA from 1 species